UUUUGCUGCCAUCAAAUUAAUCAAGUAUAUAAGAUAAAUUCAUUGUUAUACAAAGCAAAAUUACAAUUAAUAUACAAAAUUCCACCACACCUGUAAUAGUAUAGGCCACUGGUGUUACUGCCUCCAUAAAGAAAACAAAUAAACAAAGGCUGUAGCAUACGAAAUAGGAUACCAAACAAAAUUCAAUGAUCAAACCCCAAACUUUAUCGAUCAAAAAAACCCAAACUGCAAAGUUUAACCAAAAGGAAACAAAAGGGGCUGGAGAUCCUAACCAAAAGGAGCAAAAGAUGUGCCGUCACUCCCAGCGUCUCCCCUUCACCUAUAAAAAGAGGAAAAGAAACUAACCUUAAUCAAACAAAAAGACGUAUAACUGAGCUACUAGAGGUCUCCAGCCCAAAUAACAAACUAACAAAUUAAAACAACAAAAACCCAGCUGGGGCAAAACCUGCUUGGGGAAAAACAGGAAAAAAAGAGUUAGGAGGAGAAGACCUCCCCUCUACCUGUGUGUGUUGCCCGGUAUAUGUCCUUCCUCCCUUCUCCACGUAGCCUUCUCCUAUAUAUCCUCUCCUCCUCUCUGAAUAACACUUGCACUCGGGUGCUUCAGAAGAGACAGGAAGCAGGGGCAAAAGAGAAGGUUAGAGGGGGAGAGAAAAAGAGAGAGAACAGGGGCAACCUGAUGGUUAGGGUGUGUGCCUGAGCAGUGAAGACUCCCGUUCAACUCCUGGACCUUUGCUGCAUGUCACUCCCCUACUCUCUCUCUCCAUUUCCAGUCUUUCUUGUUGAAGAAAACUUUCAAGUCCUUAAUUCAAAGUUUGAUGUAUUGGUGAUUAUUUAUUCAUAUUCCAGCAUACAGUGAGUCUGCUGACAUAGAGAGGGUCUAAACAGCAAACUGACCCAGAGUGGAGGUCAGGGGGACACACAGGGCAGUGACCAAACAGUAUGUAAAUGUGAGGUGAACAAUGGUACAGGAUAGGAUCACAGAAGUUAUGGGUAUUUGAAUUCACAGAUCUUACAGUGACACAGACAAGACCUUUUGGUGAUUCAGCAGGGGCCAGGGAGACUCUAACUGGAAAAUCUGGGUUAGCCUUUUUCAUUCCUGAUUUGAAAAUUAUAAAAUACCAAUGCCUGGUGAGUUGGAUAGUGAUUCUCAGUGGGUUCAGCACCGUGAGAGACCCUUAAUUAGGGCCAUUUGACUCAAUAUUAAUUCUCAGUGCAGGUAUAAGCUGAGCUGUUGCUCUGCACAUUUGCAGAAUGCUGAAUGAAUUUUAAAAACAAGUUUGCUACAUUGACGUCUUAUAUGCUUAUUUGUUGUAUUUCAGACAAAUAUGACAAACGACGUGGGUCUUUGGACUCCAGGUGAAUUCUUGAGCACAGUGCACACUCUGAUCAGUCUGUUGUGAAGUCAUACAGGCAUUUAAGUGAAAGUAACAGAGGCAGCAGAAUGGACUUCACUCUUUAAACAACAGGCUGCCUCAGACAGUGGCCUGUUGUGACUUGCAGUGACACACUGACAGGAAUGCAGCAAAGCAAAAUCACCAAACUGUCCAGUGUUGUAUAACUGUCACAACUGAGCUAGGAACCCAAGACACAGAACACAGACUGCAGGACAAACAGGUUGUGCUACUGGAGGUGCUAGUCCCAAUGGGAAAGUAGAGUGGCAGGCAGACUGGAGGGAAUGGCAGGUGGGCUGGCAGGCAGGAACAGAACAGAGAAAACAGGAGUGACGAUCCGGCGGGGACUGAAGGCAGGAGCAAGUGCACCCUGAGUGAGCUGAUGGGAAACAGAUGAGCUUGAUUGCAGAGGCACGGCAGGUGUGGAGUGGCAAGCAGGCAGACCCAGCAGGAGAGACAGAGAGCAAGGGGGAGGGGCAGGCAACACAGAGACAGACAAACACACAGACAGACACUUCAUGACAGACUUCAGACAUUUCAUGGCAAACCUGUGUAUUGUGAUGAAUAUUGUGAUGAGGAAGAAUUCUUCUCUCUUCUCUGGAAAUUAAGCAUUACAGUGUUAGGUAGUCUUGACAGUCACAUUGUUGUACUGUACUGUAUGUAUCCAAGAGAAUCUACUGGCCAACCCUGGGUACAACAGCUUAGUAAAUGUUCUGUUUGCCAGGAUGUCUUCAUUCUACUGAAUCUUCAUAUCCAAACUGAUGUUAUCAGAGAAUCCACAUACUGUAUGACUUUAACUGUGUAACAAUAUGCCAUUGGACUGUUCAAAAUUCAAUCCGUAAUCGUGAAGCCUUUUGUGAUUGGGGAUGUGCCACCUAAUGGCUUAUGUAGUACAUUUGAAUCAGUUCUGAUGGGGUUAUGGUGUUGGUAAAGAAGCUCUGUUUUGGAGUCUGUAUGGUCAGCUGAACCACAGUUGAUGAUCAUAGUUCUGUAUGUUACUCAAGUAAUUGUGGACAAUACAGUUUUUUGAUUUUG